rnacentral:lncRNA from 1 species
AGAUAUCCUGAAGUCGUCUUUUUGUGCAGCUCUCUCCUCUCCAGUGCUUUGCCCAGGAAACUCAAGCUGUCUUGGCCUCUCUCGGCUCUCAGUAAGGUCUCCUCAACUCAGCUCCAAGGAGGUCUUUAUGGGUUCUUGCCUUGCUGUUCAUCCUCUGGGAUUUGAAAACUGCUCUUAGUCUCUGGACAGAGUCUACUUGUCUUGCCUGGUUUGAAUCCACGGAUCAUCUGCAGAACACAGAGACCGAGACUUAUCUCCCGACCAAUGAACAUCCGCCAAAAUCUCUCCCUAUCCACAGGCCAACAAACUUACUGCUUGGACUCUGGCUGGACUCCCCCUCUUUACGCUCCUUGUUCAUCAAGACAGCCCGCCUCAAACCCGCAACGGACUUGCCUGUAGCUUGCUACAGCAUUCAUUCACUGAACUGCAAUUCUUCUGCUAGUCCUGAAUAAACUCAAUUUCUGGUAAUUUGAGCUUGCCUCAGUUUACCUCUUUAUUUAGGUUGACAUAAUAGAGAUUUAGUUUUAUUUCUUACAUAUUUCUCUCAACAAUAUAUUUUUAUCAUCAGUCCAUGUUACCGUAUGCACAUUCAUCCACCACAUGUGACUUCUACAUAGCGCUGGAAAUGGGGACCUGAGCGAUAUCUAACAACCC